AGGGCUAUCAUACAAUGGUAGUAUGAGGGUCUCCAAAACCCUUCAUCCAGGUUCGAGUCCUGGUAGCCCUG
rnacentral:tRNA from 1 species